rnacentral:rRNA from 1 species
ACCUGGAAAGGGUCUUCGGCGGACCGCUGAGUAACACGCGGAUAACAUGCCCUGGGGUGGGGGAUAACCUCGGGAAACUGAGAAUAAUACCCCAUAGGUUUAGGGUGCUGGAAUGCUUCUAUGCUUAAAACUCCGGUGCCCCAGGAUUGGUCUGCGGCUUAUCAGGUUGUAGUGGGUGUAACGGACCCACUAGCCUAUGACGAGUAUGGGCCUUGAGAGAGGAAGCCCACAGAUGGACUCUGAGACAUGAGUCCAGGCCCUACGGGGCGCAGCAGUCGCGAAAACUUCACAAUGGGAGAAAUCCCGAUGAGGGAAUACCAAGUGCCAGCACUUUUGUGUUGGCUGUUCCCCUGUCUAAAAAACAGGGGAAGUAAGGGCCGGGUAAGACGGGUGCCAGCCGCCGCGGUAAUACCCGCGGCCCGAGUGGUGGUCGAUAUUAUUGAGCCUAAAACGUCCGUAGCCGGUCUCAUAAAUCCUUGGGUAAAUCGGCCAGCUUAACUGUCCGAAGUCCGAGGAGACUGUGAGACUUGGGAUCGGGAGAGGUCAGAGGUACUUCUGGGGUAGGGGUAAAAUCCUGUAAUCCUGGAAGGACCACCGGUGGCGAAGGCGUCUGACUAGAACGAAUUCGACGGUGAGGGACGAAGCCCUGGGGCGCAAGCGGGAUUAGAUACCCCGGUAGUCCAGGUGUAAACGCUGCGGGCUUGGUGUUGGGGUCCUUUGUGGGCGCCCAGUGCCGGAGAGAAGUUGUUAAGCCUGCUGCUUGGGAGUACGUCCGCAAGGAUGAAACUUAAAG